rnacentral:rRNA from 1 species
UACGGAGGGAGCUAGCGUUGUUCGGAAUUACUGGGCGUAAAACGCACGUAGGCGGCGAUUCAAGUCAGAGGUGAAAGCCCGGGGCUCAACCCCGGAACUGCCUUUGAAACUAGAUUGCUAGAAUCCUGGAGAGGUGAGUGGAAUUCCGAGUGUAGAGGUGAAAUUCGUAGAUAUUCGGAAGAACACCAGUGGCGAAGGCGACUCACUGGACAGGUAUUGACGCUGAGGUGCGAAAGCGUGGGGAGCAAACAGG